GCUAGACGGCAGGCCUAACACAUGCAAGUCGAGGGGCAGCAGACCGCUUCGGUGGUGCUGGCGACCGGCGCACGGGUGAGUAUCGCGUUUGUAACCUACCCUUAACCGGGGGAUAGCCCGAAGAAAUUCGGAUUAAUACCCCAUAAUAUCUAAAUACGGCAUCGUGCUUUCAUUAAAGCUCCGGCGGUUAAGGAUGGGCAUGCGUGACAUUAGUUUGUUGGUGAGGUAAUGGCUCACCAAGACUACGAUGUCUAGGGGGUCUGAGAGGAUGAUCCCCCACACUGGUACUGAGACACGGACCAGACUCCUACGGGAGGCAGCAGUGAGGAAUAUUGGUCAAUGGACGCAAGUCUGAACCAGCCAUGCCGCGUGCAGGAUGACGGCCCUAUGGGUUGUAAACUGCUUUUAUUCAGGAAGAAACCCUUUUACGUGUAAAAGGUUGACGGUACUGUAAGAAUAAGCAUCGGCUAACUCCGUGCCAGCAGCCGCGGUAAUACGGAGGAUGCAAGCGUUAUCCGGAUUUAUCGGGUUUAAAGGGUGCGUAGGCGGGGCAAUAAGUCAGCGGUGAAAUCCUGCGGCUUAACCGUAGAACUGCCAUUGAUACUGUUGCCCUUGAGUAUAGUUGAAGUGGGCGGAAUAUGUAAUGUAGCGG
rnacentral:rRNA from 1 species